rnacentral:miRNA from 1 species
UAAGAAGUGGCUCAAUACCCAGGUAUCCUGUAAAACCAGGACUUGGGAGGCGGAGGCAGGAGGAU